CAGCAGCCGCGGGAAUACGAAGGGUGCAAGCGUUAAUCGGAAUUACUGGGCGUAAAGCGUGCGUAGGCGGUUUGUUAAGUCUGUUGAGAAAUCCCCGGGCUCAACCUGGGAAUGGCAGUGGAUACUGGCUCGCUAGAGUGUGUCAGAGGAUGGUGGAAUUCCCGGUGUAGAGGUGAAAUUCGUAGAUAUUGGGAAGAACACCGGUGGCGAAGGCGGCAACCUGGCUCAUUACUGACGCUGAGGCGCGAAAGCGUGGGGAGCAAACAGGAUUAGAUACCCCAGUAGUCCCUGUCUCUUAUAC
rnacentral:rRNA from 1 species